rnacentral:rRNA from 1 species
UACAGAGGGGCAAGCGUUAUUCGGAAUUAUUGGGCGUAAAGGGCGCGUAGGCGGCUUUGGCAAGUGGAAGGUGAAAUCCCUCGGCUUAACCGAGGAACUGCCCUCCAAACUGCUUGGCUUGAGACCGGGAGAGGUGAGUGGAAUUCCCAGUGUAGCGGUGAAAUGCGUAGAUAUUGGGAGGAACACCAGUGGCGAAGGCGGCUCACUGGACCGGUACUGACGCUGAUGCGCGAAAGCGUGGGGAGCAAACGGG